UGGCAUCUCUGUUCUACACCAUUUUCAUGAAACCCAGUCAAUCAAGGCACUCUCUGGUAUACUCAUGAUCAGCAACAGGACAUACAAAGAUUCUCCAGUGCCACCUGGUCAUGGGAAUUUCAAAAAUUUCACAGUAUUUAUCUAGCCAUUUUUUAAGGAUGAAGUUGGAGAAACUGUGGGUUUCAAUUCAUUCAGGAACCAUUAAAUAUUGAAGAAGCACAUUUCAAGGAAAGCUCUGGAGAACUCUCAGAGGCAAGGCUUCCCAAAGAGUGGCCAAAAGGACACAUGAAGCAAGGCCCAUUUAGGUCUACAAUGUAAGGUCCUUGUGUGUUUUGAUGCUCAAAUAUGGCUGCCUAGUCUUUCAGAAUAAAAUCAUGUGAUAUCCUGGCUGAGAUUGACAGUGCUCAGUGGAAAGCCACCCUGGGCUUAGAUCUCAGUUUCCAAGGGUGACUCUCAUGUGUGGCCUCCUAAAAUCCCAACAAAAUUCAUGGCAAUACUUCUCUGAGGUCCGUUCCAUAAUUCAGUCUCUAAGGGGAAUCACACCAGAGUUCAAGCCUAGGUGGACCCAGGCAUCUCUUCCAACCACCACACAAAUGACCACAAUUAAAACCAAAACACUCCCACAUGGCCCUCAACAUCUUCCACAUAGACACUCAUCAUAACCUCUGGCUGGAGGUUUCCAUGAGGGGUGCAGCCCAAGACAGUGUCCAAAAUAAGCUCCCUUGCCCAUCACUUCUCUAAAGUCAGGGUGGCCUGUACACCCGUCCAGUGAACCAGGAGUGAUCAAAUAGGCCUGCUCUAUAACUG
rnacentral:lncRNA from 1 species